AGACUUUUACUGCCAGAGAAGACCAGGAGUUGUAUGUACGGUUUCCAAGAGACUAUUUGAUCCAGUGUUCUGGCAUUUGAAUUACAGCAUGUUCUAGAGAAAAAUAGAGUGUGGGAGCCAAGAACCCUCAUUUUAUACCUAAUGAGCUGUAAGGUUCUGGGCAAGUUUGAAAGCUUCCUACACCUGACUUUCUUCAUGUAAUCUCAUGAGCUGGUGGAGAGAGCAUAAACUGCAAAAACAGAUGAGAAAGUCAGUCAAAAGCAAAGUACUCUUUAUUUCCACAACUCGGACAAGUUUUCUGCAAUGAUAUUUGCGUGCCCUCCGUGUGUCAAGUUCUCUGUCACAGGCUUGAACAUGCAAGGUAAGGUUUGCCUAUCACCAAGAAAACAAGAUAAACACUAUUUCUGCCUUAUGGGCUUUUGCUGGAAGUGAGAUCUCUCUCUUCCACUCUCUCUCUUGCUCUCUCUAUGUGUGUGUGUGUGUGUGUGUGUUUUAUGUUGCUGUUCUCCACAAACGUUUUGUUGUGGGCUACUGUAAGACUCGUUAUGGUCAGGCAAAAUCUGGAUGAAACAUUCUCAUGGAAGGGUGAAAGGUGAGGUUUAUAUGAAAAAAAAAUGCACAGGGCCUAAGACUUCUAGAAACUACCCCUAACAAUAAAGGAAUUAUGGUAGUCCUCUUUUCCCAAAUACAAUUUUAAACGUAAAAAUCACACUAAACCAUAAAGGUAAAGAAGCUCGUUUCUAAUUCGCACCUUGAUAAUUACUUCAAAGCUUUGUUUGAAAUAUCAAAAUCUUUCUAAUUUUUUUCUCUCAUUUUUUUCUUGCAUGUCUUUGUUUCUGUUGGUGUCUUGGAACAGAGAAUCUCAAAAAAUGAUCCCUGAACCAGCAGCAUCAGCAUCACCUGUGAACUUGUUUGAAAUGCUAAUAUGGGGGCUCUACCCCAAAUCUACUGAAUCAUUAACUCAGCGGGUAGGGUCUAGCAAUCUGUGUUUUAACAAGCCUUUCAGGUGAUUCUGAAACACUUAAGUUUGACAAUUACUGCCGAGGACAGAUACUUGGGCUGCCUGUUGCAGUUUAUCAAACUGGCUGUUCAUUAGAAUCUCCUGGGAAGCCUUAUAAAAUUAUCAGUGCUGGGACUCCAAUGCCGUAGAUUCUAAUUUAUUUGGUCAGGGGUAGGCCAGGAAACCAGUAUUUUUAAAGUCUCCUAAGUGAUUCUAGUAUGUCUACCAGCAUUGAGUAUCACUAGCAUUUUAGGUAAUCUGGCUUUGACUCCUAGGCUUGAGCAACUUGGGGGACAGAAGGGAGGAGCUCAGCAUGCUUCCUCGGUUUAGGAUGAAGAGGAUAGGCAGGGAAGUAAGGAUAGUUCAGAAGAAUGUUUAAACAAGUCUGAAAUAAGAUACAUUUAAAUGUGAAAUGUGGAAGGGGAAGAAUUAUAAUUAAGCCAUAGUCUUCAGGGAACAUUUGAGGCAGUGAGCAUUUUAGGCUGAGUAACAGGAAAUAAGUUUAGAGAAAACCGGUGAAAGAGAGUCAGAGAUAAUACAACUGAGAUAAAUUAGGCUUGAAUAUUCCUUAUGGGGCUGUGCUGUGCACUACAAUCCCAU
ensembl:lncRNA novel transcript